CCUACGGGAGGCAGCAGUGAGGAAUAUUGGUCAAUGGACGUGAGCCUGAACCAGCCAAGUCGCGUGAGGGAUGACGGUUCUAUGGGUCGUAAACCUCUUUUAUAUGGGAAUAAAGUGCUGCACGUGUCCCAUUUUGUAUGUACCUUAUGAAUAAGGAUCGGCUAACUCCGUGCCAGCAGCCGCGGUAAUACGGAGGAUCCGAGCGUUAUCCGGAUUUAUUGGGUUUAAAGGGUGCGUAGGUGGAUUUUUAAGUCAGUGGUGAAAGUCUGUGGCUCAACCGUAAAAUUGCCGUUGAAACUGGGAGGCUUGAGUACAUUUGAGGUGGGCGGAAUGCGUGGUGUAGCGGUGAAAUGCUUAGAUAUCACGAAGAACCCCGAUUGCGAAGGCAGCCCAC
rnacentral:rRNA from 1 species